GCGUAUAUUAAAAUUAUGUAGUUUUACUGUUGGGGAACCAGGCGAAGUGACAUUAUAUCUGUGAGUGACUAUGAAUUUCGCGCGAAGAUAGUUGUAUUUAUAAUUUCAAACACUUUUUCAUGGCUUUGCAAAUGGUCAAUACGCAUUUGUUUGAAAAAAUUGUAAUAACUCAGAAGUAAUAUUAUUUUACAGCAUCAAACCGACCAACAAAAUAUCUUUUAUGGGAAAAAACAGGAUUCAUCACCUCUAAGCACAAAAGGUACGUGACCUGUAAGAAGAAGAGAUGUUAUAUUUUAAUUAGGAUGUGCUCAUCUAAUUAGUUUUAUUUUACAAUGUCCUUUAAAUGCCAUGUUUCCCUAUGGUCAGUAGUAAGAGUGUGCAAUACUGUUGAGUCGUUCGCGAACGAUUCAUUCAAUAGAACCGAAUCUUUUAAGUAAACGUACUGAACCGAAUCUCUUCCUCGAGUGAUUUGUUCAUUUCUCGCUUCAGUUGAGCUGAAGUGAGAAAAAGAAUUGCCAGUUGAGCAGCCGUCGAGUGAGGGACCGCAUGCACCGACACUUGAAUCACUUGGUGAACGAAUCACGCAUUGAACCACACUCCCUGGAAUCAUUUUUGUCAGACAAAACUACCUUUUU